rnacentral:piRNA from 1 species
UUUUUGAGGUCUUGCUCUUUAGC